CCUAGUUAGUUCUUUUUCGUUUGUCAAAUAGAAGGUAUUUCUGUUACCUCCGCCUCCCCUUUUGUGCACUGGAUCUUUACAGACGUGGCAACUGACUGAACCACUUCCCAGUUAUACAGUAUUCAUGCUGUAAGUCUUUUGUGACAAACACAACACCAAAGGAUUCAGCAAUUCAAAUUAAAAGUAGUGUAAAAAGAGAGUCAGAAUAUGUAUCACCAAGAUUUCUUCAGAUUUUGCUAAAUGGUAUAGCAGCUGGCUAUAGAGCCACUCAGCUCAGCCCUAUUGGAGCACACUGUAAUCUUCAGAGGCAGCGGCCUUUCCCUGCUCACCCUCUCCAUGUAUUCAUCAUCAUCAUUUUAGUUUAUUACAGGAAAACCAGACAACUGGCAACCCUAUUACCAUGCCAUGAGCACAACUGAUUGCUUGGGCGUUGAUGCAAUCAGAAGCAUAUUAAAUCUCACACUCUCUGCUCCUCUGAGUGAAAAAACCCUGCAGCUCAGCCUCACAUCCCUCACAGAUACACAGCAAAGAGUAUUUAUAGCUCUAAAAAAAAUCUGAAUCAAGCUUUCAGACUCAUUUCAAAUUCACAAAAACAAGGACAUUGAGAGAGAGAACUCAACCCAUCCUCCUGUCAUUACAUAUUUCAGGGGUCACCACACUUUUGUAGAUUCAGAUGCUGUGACUUCUGUUUUUAGUUAUACUUCUGUACUGCCAAAAUGAAAUGAGUCCAACAGUUGUGUCAGUUCUAUCUGCCCUCAGCUCAAUUUUUUUAAAACAACCCUCGAAUAUUUUAAGGGUUUUUUUUGGUGUGUGUAAUCCUUAGAGAAAGCUGACGUGUCAUUCAAGUCUCCAUAUUUAAACCUGGUGAUUUGUUUUCUGACUGAAUAAACUGGAACUAGCUCUGCUUCAGUUUUUGCAAAUAAGCAUGUGCACACAUGAGGGAAUGGUCUUCUUAACAUUUUCCUGUUCCUGAGAAAGACAGGAGAAGACAAUGAAGGCACAGUAGAACUUGAUAGCAUCUGACUACCAUGAACAUGGAAUUUAUUCCAGAAUUUGAAGGGUAGUGGCAAAAUAAUAAGGGAACCUCAAGUAUAUAUUGUAAAACUCUGGGAAUAGAAAUGUGACUUGCAAAACCAUCUGACUAGUGUGCUUAUCCAUCAUUGUUGGAUAUAGUGAUGGAUACUGGAACAAUGUAUGUAUCGAAUUCAAACACUCUUCCCCAACUUCUGCUCAAAUGGAGAGUGACAGUGAAAAUGAACACCAUCUCAAAUAUUUAAAUCUCCAGUGCAUCCUGCAUACAAAGAUCAAUAUCCAUGUUUUAUUGUAUAGCAAUAGCUCUGUGUCCCCUAGCAACCUGUCAAAACCUUUAGCUUUCCUCUUGACAGCCUUUGUAGUUCAGGUACUUGUUGUCAAUAGAAAAAUCUGCAGCAUGUUGAAAAGUUAAAAUUCAUAGGAACAAUCAAUUGAAUAUAAAAAUAGACCACGUAAGGGAUAUGGUGCUGAUUAGAUGGGAUGGAAAAGGGCAAUAGAGGGGGAGAGGAUAUGGAGUUGUUCCCUACUAUGUAAAUCUGGGAUCCACACCCCUAGGAUAUGGGAUCUUGACUAUAAUUGGAAAUAGUAAAUGAAUGUGGUAAUGGUAUGAAUGUGGUAUGUUAGCAUCAAGGUGUUUGUUGUUCCACAAAUCACCUACAGUGUGUAUAUUGCCACCUACCUUUCAGAACUGUUUUCUAAAACCUCUCUAUAAUAAGUACAUUCUUUUGGAGGAAUAAGCCACAACGAAAUAGUCUUUAUUGGGUUUCUUCUUCAGUUAGAUCAAAAGGAAAAGAAAAUGUUCAACUAUGCACUGAUUGGUGCUGGGCUUUUGAAAUGUGACAAAAUGUCCUCAGUGUAAACUGCGCAAAUCUGUUAGCGCAGGACCACACUCCCCUAAUUCAAAGUAAUUCUGACCAAAUCUGCUCUGUUGUUGUUGUUUUUAAUCUUUUAUCUGGCCAAAAGGGAGACAAAAUGCAAUUGAGAUUCUAUGGUCCAGAUUUUCCACGUGGCUGAGAGUGGGAUUGACACAGGUGGCUUUAAACCACCUUUUACGUUCCCUCUCACCCUCCAAUGGCUACUGAAUGCUGGCCCAGGCCCAGGAUGCUCUAUUUUAAAUCAGCUGCCAACAUUCCCCAUGGGCAAUUCACAGUAGCCAGGGGUCAGCUUCGUGUUGGGAUGCCCCAGCCAUACUUCUGCUCAAGACGGAGAAGAGGGUGGUGUAGGAGCUGCUGUAAAGUAGAACAAAGUGGAGAAUGUGGCACCAAGUGACUCAAAGCCAUU